rnacentral:rRNA from 1 species
CGGGAAACACGUACGCAAAUCUACCCAAAACUGAUGAAUAGCCCUCCGAAAGGAGGAUUAAUACAUCGUAACUUAUUAGAGUGGCAUCACUUUAUUAAUAUAGCUCCGGCGGUUUUGGAUGAGCGUGCGGCUGAUUAGAUAGUUGGCAGGGUAACGGCCUACCAAGUCUACGAUCAGUAACUGGUGUGAGAGCACGACCAGUCACACGGGCACUGAGACACGGGCCCG